GCUCCGUUAGCUUAGUCGGUAGAGCGUAGUGCUAAUAACGCUAAGGUCGGCGGUUCGAUCCCGUCAUGGAGCA